GCAGAGGUGCCUGAGCCCUCUUCAGGCUGGGGUGGUCCCAGGAGGGCAAGGAGAAUCAACGUGGAAAAAACUGGUGUCCUGCCAUACUGAAGAGCUUCAAGCUGACUCUGUUUGGGACCCAUACAGACCCUUGCCAGAGGUGCAUCGCUCAGCUCAUGGAUAAACAACACCCAAAUCCAGAACCACAGAGGGGACAAUGAGCUUCAUGCCAAGCAAAACCUUCUCUUUGGGCGUGUCCCUGUGGCAAGGGACAUCUGCUGUCAACUCCUGCUCAAGUGACCCAGAGAUGCCACCCAUGAAACCAGUGCAAGCACUGGGGCAUUCACAGCAUCCCUCAGAUGGUGAUGGGAAUGCGUGACAUCUGCAUUCAGGCAUCUUCAUUCAGACCUGCAUCUUAAUCAUCAAGUUUUCAUUGCGCCACUUCCACCCAGUACACUGGAUUAAACCCCAGCUCACGUAUACCAAGGGAGAACCAGGUGCCACUAAAUCCCGGAUGCAUAAACCUCAAUUCAGCUCCAGAUACACAAAACCCAUGUCGGUUGCAGGACAGCCCGUCUGCCGUUUGCAGCAAGCCAUCUGCCCAUGCUUGCUGGAGCCUUAAAAAUUGAUGUCGGUUCUCCCAGCAAAGCCAGCUAGCUACCUGUGGUGAACUGGGCGAGGGCCGGCCGGCUCUCGUUGGCACCCCGGAUGGCGCUG
rnacentral:lncRNA from 1 species